rnacentral:lncRNA from 1 species
UGAUUGGUGAACCUGGAAAACCAAUUGUAAAGGUUCGUUGGUGAGCCCGUAAAACCAACAUAGGUUCGUUGGUGAGCCCGUAAAACCAACAUAGGUUUUUGGUGAACCCGGAAAACCAAAGUGUAAAGGUUUUUAGAUUGUGAGCCCGGAAAACAAUCCAACUGUAAUCCGCGGGAUUAUAGUGAAUUUCCAAGGGGUUGCUUGGGGAGUGGACGUAGGUGCUAAGGAGAGCACCGAACCACUAUACUUCUUGUUGUUUGCAUUGUGAUUUGUUUAAGUUCACUAACUCAUCAUUUAACACAAGUAAGAUAGAUAAAAUCAAAAGAAACCAAUUCACCCCCCCUCUUGGCUUGUCACCUUGGGCAACAAGUGGUAUCAGAGCAAGGUGCUCCAAUAGUACUCAUUGAUCUCACAAUCAAGAGUUAAAGAUCAUGACAACCCAAGUGGGAUGUUCUAUGAGUGAGGGGCAAUCCAU